UCCGUCCACGGGAGGCAGCAGUGAGGAAUAUUGGUCAAUGGCCGAGAGGCUGAACCAGCCAAGUCGCGUGAGGGAUGACGGCCCUACGGGUUGUAAACCUCUUUUGUCGGGGAGCAAAGAGAGUCACGUGUGACUCAUUGAGAGUACCCGAAGAAAAAGCAUCGGCUAACUCCGUGCCAGCAGCCGCGGUAAUACGGAGGAUGCGAGCGUUAUCCGGAUUUAUUGGGUUUAAAGGGUGCGCAGGCGGAGGUGCAAGUCAGCGGUCAAAUUGCGGGGCUCAACCCCGUACUGCCGUUGAAACUGCC
rnacentral:rRNA from 1 species